GUAAAUAGUUGUUAUACUAUAUUGUUUAGUGAAUAAUGACAAGAAAAAUUUAUGUACAUGUUUAGUACUGACACUUUUUUUAAUUAAUAUUUU